rnacentral:hammerhead_ribozyme from 1 species
ACACUAUGACGAGUUCCAAAUAGGACGAAACGCGCGUCCUGUAU